rfam:Tetranychus urticae London genomic scaffold, scaffold_6
GGGGAAGUAUGGUUGCAAAGCUGAAACUUAAAGGAAUUGACGGAAGGGCACCACCAGGAGUGGAGCUUGCGGCUUAAUUUGACUCAACACGGGAAAACUCACCCGGCCCGGACACUGAGAGGAUUGACAGAUUGAGAGCUCUUUCUUGAUUCAGUGGGUGGUGGUGCAUGGCCGUUCUUAGUUGGUGGAGUGAUUUGUCUGGUUAAUUCCGAUAACGAACGAGACUCUAGCCUACUAAAUAGACUUGCAGUUUACACUGCAGUACUCCCCCUUAGUCAACCUGUGGGUGGUAGUAUCUCUUGAUGGUUUCGGCUGUUGAGGGCUCUGCUGCUAUUAGCCUACAGAAUUGGCUAGGGUAAGGAUGCUGUAGCACUGUAAGGACUUCUUAGAGGGACAAGCGGCGCUCGCAGCCGCACGAAACAGAGCAAUAACAGGUCUGUGAUGCCCUUAGAUGUCCGGGGCCGCACGCGUGCUACACUGAAGUGGUCAUCGUGCAUACUGUUUCCUGCUCCGAAAGGAGUGGGUAACCGCUUGAACCCAUUUCGUGAUGGGGAUUGGGCAUUGUAAUUAUUGCCCAUGAACGAGGAAUUCCCAGUAAGCGUGAGUCAUUAGCUUGCGUUGAUUACGUCCCUGCCCUUUGUACACACCGCCCGUCGCUACUACCGAUUGAAUGAUUUAGUGAGGACUUCGGACUGGUCAAUCCAGACCAUUGGGAAACUAGUGGUCGGAUUGUGCUGGAAAGAUGUUCAAACUUGAUCAUUUAGAGGAAGUAAAAGUCGUAACAAGGUUUCCGUAGGUGAACCUGCGGAAG